AUCAGGUGAAGAGUCUUAAAUAGGACGAGACACGCGUCCUGAAU
rnacentral:hammerhead_ribozyme from 1 species